GAUGAACGCUGGCGGCGUGCCUAAUACAUGCAAGUCGAGCGAACAGACGAGGAGCUUGCUCCUCUGACGUUAGCGGCGGACGGGUGAGUAACACGUGGAUAACCUACCUAUAAGACUGGGAUAACUUCGGGAAACCGGAGCUAAUACCGGAUAAUAUAUUGAACCGCAUGGUUCAAUAGUGAAAGACGGUUUUGCUGUCACUUAUAGAUGGAUCCGCGCCGCAUUAGCUAGUUGGUAAGGUAACGGCUUACCAAGGCGACGAUGCGUAGCCGACCUGAGAGGGUGAUCGGCCACACUGGAACUGAGACACGGUCCAGACUCCUACGGGAGGCAGCAGUAGGGAAUCUUCCGCAAUGGGCGAAAGCCUGACGGAGCAACGCCGCGUGAGUGAUGAAGGUCUUCGGAUCGUAAAACUCUGUUAUUAGGGAAGAACAAAUGUGUAAGUAACUAUGCACGUCUUGACGGUACCUAAUCAGAAAGCCCCGGCUAACUACGUG
rnacentral:rRNA from 1 species